GACGAACGCUGGCGGCGUGCUUAACACAUGCAAGUCGAACGGAGAACUUUCUUCGGAAUGUUCUUAGUGGCGAACGGGUGAGUAACGCGUAGGCAACCUGCCCUCUGGUUGGGGACAACAUUCCGAAAGGGAUGCUAAUACCGAAUAUGAUCCCCUCUCCGCAUGGAGAGGGGAUGAAAGAUGGCCUCUACUUGUAAGCUAUCGCCAGAAGAUGGGCCUGCGUCUGAUUAGCUAGUAGGUGGGGUAACGGCUCACCUAGGCGAUGAUCAGUAGCCGGUCUGAGAGGAUGAACGGCCACAUUGGGACUGAGACACGGCCCAAACUCCUACGGGAGGCAGCAGUGGGGAAUCUUCCGCAAUGGACGAAAGUCUGACGGAGCAACGCCGCGUGAGUGAUGAAGGCCUUCGGGUUGUAAAACUCUGUUGUCAGGGACGAACGUGCCGAUUUACAAUACACUUCAGCAGUGACGGUACCUGACGAGGAAGCCACGGCUAACUACGUG
rnacentral:rRNA from 1 species